CAAAGACACACAGAUAACAAUAAAACGUGCAAGUAGAGGAAAAAAGCCCAGCCAAUUCAAGAGAGAGGCUCCUCUUGUCUGGCCCAAGUAUGUAACCAGUUGCACACAGGCACACUGGUCGCUGCGCCUGCAUCACACAGAAGUGGGAACAUCCUCCGUUGUUGACUGAGCACUGCUUGUUCACGUCUGGAAACAGUUUUCUCAUCAUUCUCAAACCAUUCCCUGGCCUCCUCCAUCGUGCAGACUUCCUCUCUACAUUCCCGCUCCAGGUUGUC